rnacentral:rRNA from 1 species
GGGGAACAACAGCUGGAAACGGCUGCUAAUACCCCAUAGGCUGAGGAGCAAAAGGAGGAAUCCGCCCAAGGAGGGGCUCGCGUCUGAUUAGUUAGUUGGUGAGGCAAUGGCUUACCAAGGCGACGAUCAGUAGCUGGUCCGAGAGGAUGAUCAGCCACACUGGGACUGAGACACGGCCCAGACUCCUACGGGAGGCAGCAGUGGGGAAUUUUCCGCAAUGGGCGAAAGCCUGACGGAGCAAUGCCGCGUGAAGGUAGAAGGCCCACGGGUCAUGAACUUCUUUUCUCGGAGAAGAAAAAAUGACGGUAUCUGAGGAAUAAGCAUCGGCUAACUCUGUGCCAGCAGCCGCGGUAAGACAGAGGAUGCAAGCGUUAUCCGGAAUGAUUGGGCGUAAAGCGUCUGUA